rnacentral:rRNA from 1 species
UACAGAGGUGCCGAGCGUUAGGCGGAAUCACUGGGCUUAAAGCGUGUGUAGGCGGAUGCCUAAGUACCUUGUGAAAUCCCCCCGGCUUAACCGGGGAACUGCUUGGUAUACUGGGUGUCUUGAGCCACUUAGGGGCGACCGGAACAAACGGUGGAGCGGUGAAAUGCGUAGAUAUCGUUUGGAACGCCAAUGGUGAAAACAGGUCGCUGGGAGUGUGCUGACGCUGAGACACGAAAGCCAGGGGAGCGAACGGG